rnacentral:rRNA from 1 species
GACGAACGCUGGCGGCGUGCCUAAUACAUGCAAGUCGAACGCAGUGGGGACGGGGGAGUAACAAGUGGGUAACCUCUCAUCAGAGUGGAUAACACUUGGAAACAGGUGCUAAACCGAUACUGAUGGAUGGACCCGGGGUGCAUUAGCUAGUUGGUGAGGUAACGGCUCACCAAGGCCACGAUGCAUAGCGGACCUGAGAGGGUGAUAGGCCACACUGUGACUGAGACACGGCCCAGACUCCUACGGGAGGCAGCAGUGGGGAAUCUUCGACAAUGGACGAAAGUCUGACCGAGCCACGCCGCGUGAGUGAAGAAGGUUUUCGGGUCGUAAAGCUCUGUUGUUAGGGAGGCGGUAUCUAACCAGGAAGCCACGGCUAACUACGUGCCAGCAGCCGCGGUAAUUC